rnacentral:rRNA from 1 species
GAUGAACGCUGGCGGCGUGCCUAAUACAUGCAAGUCGAGCGAACGGACGAGAAGCUUGCUUCUCUGAUGUUAGCGGCGGACGGGUGAGUAACACGUGGAUAACCUACCUAUAAGACUGGGAUAACUUCGGGAAACCGGAGCUAAUACCGGAUAAUAUUUUGAACCGCAUGGUUCAAAAGUGAAAGACGGUCUUGCUGUCACUUAUAGAUGGAUCCGCGCUGCAUUAGCUAGUUGGUAAGGUAACGGCUUACCAAGGCAACGAUGCAUAGCCGACCUGAGAGGGUGAUCGGCCACACUGGAACUGAGACACGGUCCAGACUCCUACGGGAGGCAGCAGUAGGGAAUCUUCCGCAAUGGGCGAAAGCCUGACGGAGCAACGCCGCGUGAGUGAUGAAGGUCUUCGGAUCGUAAAACUCUGUUAUUAGGGAAGAACAUAUGUGUAAGUAACUGUGCACAUCUUGACGGUACCUAAUCAGAAAGCCACGGCUAACUACGUGCCAGCAGCCGCGGUAAUACGUAGGUGGCAAGCGUUAUCCGGAAUUAUUGGGCGUAAAGCGCGCGUAUGCGGUUUUUUAAGUCUGAUGUGAAAGCCCACGGCUCAACCGUGGAGGGUCAUUGGAAACUGGAAAACUUGAGUGCAGAAGAGGAAGGUGGAAUUCCAUGUGUAGCGGUGAAAUGCGCAGAGAUAUGGAGGAACACCAGUGGCGAAGGCGACUUUCUGGUCUGUAACUGACGCUGAUGUGCGAAAGCGUGGGGAUCAAACAGGAUUAGAUACCCUGGUAGUCCACGCCGUAAACGAUGAGUGCUAAGUGUUAGGGGGUUUCCGCCCCUUAGUGCUGCAGCUAACGCAUUAAGCACUCCGCCUGGGGAGUACGACCGCAAGGUUGAAACUCAAAGGAAUUGACGGGGACCCGCACAAGCGGUGGAGCAUGUGGUUUAAUUCGAAGCAACGCGAAGAACCUUACCAAAUCUUGACAUCCUUUGACAACUCUAGAGAUAGAGCUUUCCCCUUCGGGGGACAAAGUGACAGGUGGUGCAUGGUUGUCGUCAGCUCGUGUCGUGAGAUGUUGGGUUAAGUCCCGCAACGAGCGCAACCCUUAAGCUUAGUUGCCAUCAUUAAGUUGGGCACUCUAAGUUGACUGCCGGUGACAAACCGGAGGAAGGUGGGGAUGACGUCAAAUCAUCAUGCCCCUUAUGAUUUGGGCUACACACGUGCUACAAUGGACAAUACAAAGGGCAGCGAAACCGCGAGGUCAAGCAAAUCCCAUAAAGUUGUUCUCAGUUCGGAUUGUAGUCUGCAACUCGACUACAUGAAGCUGGAAUCGCUAGUAAUCGUAGAUCAGCAUGCUACGGUGAAUACGUUCCCGGGUCU